AGAGAGCCCUCUACAGGGAUGUCAUGCAGGAGAACUAUGAGACGGUGACCUCGCUGGGGUUUCUAAAUUGCAAACCUGAUGUGGUUUCACAGCUGGAACGAGGGGAAGAGCCGUGGGUCCCGGACCUCCAGGGUUCUGAGAAAGAAGUGCUCCCGAGAGCUGCCUGCACAGGUGAUAGGAUGGUGCGUGAGAAUGAGGAGCAGAAACCCCAGCAGG